rnacentral:rRNA from 1 species
UACAAUGGCCGGUACAAAGAGAAGCGAGGCUGUGAAGCGGAGCAAAUCUCAAAAACCGGUACCCAGUUCGGAUUGUAGGCUGCAACUCGCCUACAUGAAGUCGGAGUUGCUAGUAAUCGCGGAUCAGAAUGCCGCGGUGAAUGCGUUCCCGGGUCUUGUACACACCGCCCGUCACACCAUGGAAGUUGGGGGCGCCCGAAGUUGCCUAAGAAAUAAGGUACCUAAGGCGAAACCAAUGACUGGGGUGAAGUCGUAACAAGGUACC